rnacentral:rRNA from 1 species
AACGGGCUCGGUUCUCUUUUCCGGGGCGGGCCGGCGCGGCGAAACGUGGGCGUAAUACGUCAGUAACUCGCCCUCCGUUUCAGGAAAAACCUCUUCGAAAGGGCGGUCUAAAUAACGGGGCGGCCUCGUCCGGUCGCACGGGCCUCGGGUUCGGGAUAGUUUUAUCUUUCGGAGCUUUUCGGUGAGGAGGGGGCUCGCGGCUUCUCAGCUUCGUUCGGGGGGGAGAAAGGCCCACCAAGAGCGGUGACGGGGUAGCCGGCCUGAGAGGGGUGGGCGGCCACACUGGGUCUGAGAACACGGCCCAGAACUCCUGCGGGAGGCAGCAGUGGGGGGUAUUGCACAAUGGGCGGAAGCCUGAUGCAGCGACCUCGCGUGAGGGAUGGAGGCCUUCGGGUUUGUGAAACCUCUUUUCUCCGGUGGUGAAAAGCCCUGUCCGUUGCGGGCGGGGUUUGUACGGUAGCCGGGUAUGAAGCGCCGGCUAACUACGUGCCAGCAGCCGCGGUGAUACGUAGGGCGCGAGCGUUGUCCGGAAUUAUUGGGCGUGAAGGGCUUGUAGGCGGCCGGUCGCGUCCGCCGUGAAAUUCUCCGGCUCAACCGGGGGCUUGCGGUGGGUACGGGCCGGCUGGAGUGCGGUAGGGGAGGCUGGAACUCCUGGUGUAGCGGUGGAAUGCGCAGAUAUCAGGAGGAACACCGGUGGCGAAGGCGGGUCUCUGGGCCGUUACUGACGCUGAGGAGCGAAAGCGUGGGGAGCGAACAGGAUUAGAUACCCUGGUAGUCCACGCCGUAAACGUUGGGCACUAGGUGUGGGGCCCCGCUCGGGCGGGGGUCCGCGCCCGCAGCUAACGCAUUAAGUGCCCCGCCUGGGGAGUACGGCCGCAAGGCUAAAACUCAAAGGAAUUGACGGGGGCCCGCACAAGCGGCGGAGCAUGCGGAUUAAUUCGAUGCAAACGCGAAGAACCUUACCAGGGCUUGACAUGGGGGCGGCGGCGCCGGAGACGGGCGCCUCCCUUUUUCGGGCGUCCCCGCAGGUGGUGCAUGGUUGUCGUCAGCUCGUGUCGUGAGAUGUUGGGUUAAGUCCCGCAACGAGCGCUAACCCCUGUCCCGUGUUGCCAGCGCGUGGUGGCGGGGACUCUCGGGAGACUGCCGGGGUCAACUCGGAGGAGAGGUGGGGACGACGUCGAAAUCAUCAUGCCCCUGACGUCCUGGGCUUCACGCUGGCUACGAAUGGCCGGUACAGAGGGGUUGCGAAUGCCGUGAGGCGGGGCGAACCUCUUAAAGCCGGUCUCGGUUCGAUUCGGUGUUCUGCAAACUCGACCCCGUGAAGUCGGAAGUUCGCUGUGAUCGCGGAUUCGGGGUUGGCUGCGGGUAAAGACGUUCACGGCCCAUGUCACACCCGCCCGU